rnacentral:lncRNA from 1 species
UCGUGUUUAAUAUUUUUCAAAACUUCUGCAAAAUAUACAAUAUAUGAACACAGACAACCAGAAAACCUAUAAAACUUUUAAAACCAUAGACAGGCCAAUUGAGCUUAAGUGCAAAUUUACGAUUAAAUAGUAACAAUAAAUUUGAUAGUUCAAAAAGACGUCUAUCUUUGUGAAAAUUGUCUUAUUUACCCUGGGUUAAACAUCUGCUCUCUGAUAUUUGUGCAAUAAUAAAAACUGUUUAUUUUUUCCUGUCCUUGAAUAAAGCACAAACAAAAGGUUGCGCUUUUUUUUUUUUUUUUUUUUUGAUAUUGCUACUAUGUUUUCACUAGAAAACGAAUAAUGAAAUCAUAUAUUAAAUGUUAAUCAUUCUGUUUAAUUAUUGAACCCCAAAAUGAGUAAACACGUUAAGACGGUAAAGUAGCCGUGAUUGCAUGUCUGUAAAUGUUUGCUUUUAGAGGAUUGUUACUGAGUGUAACACUUUAAUAAAGAAUUUCGAUGAAUUUGUUUAUUUAGCUACAACAACAUCGUUGAAAGCCUUGAUAUUGGUAUGGAAGUCACACAGAGCAACUCUUAUGACACACUAAUUUCAGCCAUGUGCACCUGUAAAUGUUAUUUAAAUUGUAGAAAAGGGUACUAUAUUCGACUAUCAAUAGUAUUCUAAUAACAAUACAUGCUUUAUCAACAUAUUAUUGGUUGAAACAUCUGGGUCAAUUUGUGAACAUAUAGUAGAAUUUGGCCUCGAUAUUGUUAAUGGGCAUACAUAUUUAUACACCUUUUCAUAGAUUUCCCCAGUACAAAAAAAAAAUGCGGUUUGUUUUAUAAAAUGCUACAUAAUGUUGAAAUAAUGUUUCGACUAAAUAGAAAGGACAUUGCAAGGAAAUGCGGAAAUAAAAUUCACUUAAGUUGAGGAAAAUCUUUAAAUUUUCUAGAAUUUAUUUUAAUACUGUCGAAUUUAAAUCCGUAGAUAUGGUCACAUUUAUGAACUACCUGUUAACAUUUUU